rnacentral:rRNA from 1 species
CCUACGGGAGGCAGCAGUGGGGAAUAUUGCACAAUGGGGGAAACCCUGAUGCAGCGACGCCGCGUGAGCGAUGAAGUAUUUCGGUAUGUAAAGCUCUAUUAGCAGGGAAGAAAAUGACGGUACCUGACUAAGAAGCACCGGCUAACUACGUGACAGCAGCCGCGGUAAUACGUAGGGGGCAAGCGUUAUCCGGAUUUACUGGGUGUAAAGGGUGCGUAGGCGGCUUGGCAAGCCAGAUGUGAAAGGCUGGGGCUCAACCCCAGGACUGCAUUUGGAACUGUCAUGCUAGAGUGUCGGAGAGGCAGGCGGAAUGCCUGGUGUAGCGGUGAAAUGCGUAGAGAUUAGGAAGAACACCAGUGGCGAAGGCAGCCUGCUGGACGAUGACUGACGUUGAGGCUCGAAAGCGUGGGGAGCAAACAGGAUUAGAUACCCCAGUAGUC